rnacentral:misc_RNA from 1 species
AAGUCGUAACAAGGUUUCCGUAGGUGAACCUGCGGAAGGAUCAUUACAAAUUUGGUCUUUACCGACCAUCUCAAUCAACUGUUGUGCAACUAACCGCGACUGGUGCUAACCGACGUGCGUGGCAAGAUUUACCGAAAGGUUCUUCUUGAUACGUGCCAAGGUGAUCACCGUCACUUGUUUACCAAACCUUUUCCAACUUAACACCUAAACCAAUCUCGAGCUCAGUACUGGGCGUAGACAGAUUAAACACACACAAAUACAACUUUUAGCAACGGAUCUCUAGGCUCUC